rnacentral:lncRNA from 1 species
GAAACCACCUUGACUGCAGUCUUAUGUAAGCAGAGUCCUUCCCCAUUUUAUAAAAUUGUAAUUUUCCAUUAUUUUCUUUAAGGAGUGAAAAUUAGAGAAUCCAUGUGUCGAAACAAAAGAAGGAAUUUUGUGGACAAAAUGGACAGUCAGUGCAUUUUUUUUCCUUGAAACUUUCCCUAUUUAAUUCUGGAAUAGAAGAGUGACAAAGAAGAGUAUAGUAGAAUUGUAUAUAUUCACAUUCAACUGUGUGUGUUCAGAAAAGAGUAAAAUAAAAGUGAGGAUUAAAGUAUAGGUGAUUCUGUCUGCCUUUUACUCAGUAAAUUUCUGCCC